rnacentral:rRNA from 1 species
AUUGAACGCUGGCGGCAUGCCUUACACAUGCAAGUCGAACGGCAGCACGGGUGCUUGCUCCUCGUGGCGAGUGGCGAACGGGUGAGUAAUACAUCGGAACAUGUCCUGUAGUGGGGGAUAGCCCGGCGAAAGCCGGAUUAAUACCGCAUACGAUCUACGGAUGAAAGCGGGGGACCUUCGGGCCUCGCGCUAUAGGGUUGGCCGAUGGCUGAUUAGCUAGUUGGGGGGGUAAAGGGCUACCAAGGCGACAAUCAGUAGCUGGUCUGAGAGGACGACCAGCCACACUGGGACUGAGACACGGCCCAGACUCCUACGGGAGGCAGCGGUGGGGAAUUUUGGACAAUGGGCGAAAGCCGGAUCCAGCAAUGCCGCGUGUGUGAAGAAGGCCUUCGGGUGGUAAAGCACUUUUGUCCGGAAAGAAAUCCUUGGCCCUAAUACGGUCGGGGGAUGACGGUACCGGAAGAAUAAGCACCGGCUAACUACGUG